rnacentral:rRNA from 1 species
UAAACAAUUUACCGAAGC